rnacentral:rRNA from 1 species
AGUGAACGCUGGCGGUAGGCCUAACACAUGCAAGUCGAACGGCAGCACAGUAAGAGCUUGCUCUUACGGGUGGCGAGUGGCGGACGGGUGAGGAAUACAUCGGAAUCUACUUUUUCGUGGGGGAUAACGUAGGGAAACUUACGCUAAUACCGCAUACGACCUACGGGUGAAAGCAGGGGAUCUUCGGACCUUGCGCGAUUGGAUGAGCCGAUGUCGGAUUAGCUAGUUGGUGGGGUAAAGGCCCACCAAGGCGACGAUCCGUAGCUGGUCUGAGAGGAUGAUCAGCCACACUGGAACUGAGACACGGUCCAGACUCCUACGGGAGGCAGCAGUGGGGAAUAUUGGACAAUGGGCGCAAGCCUGAUCCAGCCAUACCGCGUGGGUGAAGAAGGCCUUCGGGUUGUAAAGCCCUUUUGUUGGGAAAGAAAAGCAGCAGGUUAAUACCCCGCUGUUCUGACGGUACCCAAAGAAUAAGCACCGGCUAACUUCGUG